GUUUGACAUGCACUCUACCACAGAGGAUAAUCAGACACCACUUGAGUUAUUUAAGAACUGGAAUACCUUGAAUUUGGGAUAAACAUAAUGCCUGGGGAGGAAAAUAUAGGAGUCCUUGAACAGUUGACCCUGCUACUCCACCUACCACCAUGGCUAGUUCCCCAUCUUUCAUGAGAAAAAUGGAUAAGGUAGAAGGAUGUGCAG